CUUUGCCAAACUCUCUUGUUUAUUUCAUAAUUAUAACAUCUUUAUGUUCGUUGACUAUACAAUAUGAAAAUUCACAGGAAGAGGGUUUAAAAACAAUAGUAUCAAAGUAGCAACGCCAGACAGCAGGAGACCAGUAUGUUCCCUUGAAACUCAGGGCUGAAUUUGCAGAACAAUUAAUUAUGAUUUCUGACCUACUGUUUAAAAUAUUAUUGCUUUUUUUUUUUUUUUUUCUUUUUUUCCUUUUAAAUGGAUGAGAAGUGGCAACAGUUUAUAAUAAUGGGCUACACAGAGUUCACGGAACUGUGGAAGCAGUUGUAUUGUAUUGUUUUUCUACUGAAAAAAUCAGUAGAAGCUGUAACGAAUGCCAGAGUUAAUAGAGACGUGAGAUACGAUGUAAGGCGGAAGAGGUGAAAACAGAUUCUGUAGUCUGAAGUCAUUCCUCAAAGCUAUUUCAGCUCUUUGAAGUUCCAGCGUUGUGACUGAUUUUGGGCAUCUGUCUGCGAGUGUUUGUUCCCACUUCUGCCAGGGGACUCCCACAUGCAGCUCCUGCCUUCUCCCCUGUGUGUUUUCUUUUCACCUCCCUCACAGAAGCCACUUUUCCUGAGAAAUGGGAAAACCAUCAGCAUGUCCUCUUGCCCUGAGGGCUAUUGGUUGGUUGUCUUUGCUUUUUGAAGGAAGAAAUGCUGGUCUGUGUCAGAAGGAAGGUGUUUGGAAGACAGUCAGACUGGGGACCUGGGCAGACUGUGGUAUUUUACAGAGCCUUGGAGAUGACAAAGCAGCUGCUUCCCCUGUGCUUGACUGAACACUUUCUCCACACACCACUGGGGCACGGUGUACAUGAAGUGACAGAAGAGAAGAAAUGGGAGAACGUGUGGAGAAUGGCCUUCAGUACUGUGACAGCCAUCUCACUCUCUCCUCAGGCCCUCAGAAGGUUUGGGGAAAUUGGCUGCAGGACAUUAUAAACAGACUUUGCAAGAUCUGCAGGCCACACUUUCCUUUGAAGAUUUCUGUGAAAACAAUCCCUGAAACAUUGGGAUAUGUUGAAUGUCAGUUAUGAUUUAUGAAAUGAGACUUCAAGCCUUAUUUCCUUUUGUUACUGAGUAAAAGUUUUUCAAAUGCUUAUUAAUAUAACCUGAGGAUCAAGAAGGAAAACAAUGAAUCACUUGCAAAGAAGAAAUGAAUUCUCCAAGAGAAUCCUAAAAAAGAAGCAUUCAUCAGUCGUGCGUCUUCAUUUAUCUCCCCGGGCUGAGCUGCAGUCCCAUCUGUGUGACUGAUGCUGACUCUGAACAGCUCCUUCUCCACCUCCUGCCUGUCCUUUCCCUGGUUAGUCACACUUCCCACUUGGAGAAAACGACAAUCUCGAGCUCCUUAGAGGCGACACAACUCAGUUUCUCUAUCUUCCCCUAUUACCAUUCAUACUCUGGCCAGUUCAAAGAGUGAACACAAAUCAAUACCCUCAGCU
rnacentral:lncRNA from 1 species